UGCUAGUCCCUGCCAAUCAGCCUCCACACCUGUCCUCAAUCAACACUGCCAAAGGACAAUGUACUGGAGAAUGAUGGUGCUAACGUCCACAGUUGUCCUGUCCAAGCCAUCUCACAUCUGGACAUGCACACCUGUUCCUGAUUCGAUUCAGCCUACCAGGUGGCAGUGGUCAGUGAUGUUCUUUGCUGCACGCUUCACUGCUGGAGAGUCGUAUAAGACCAGCAUGGAGAUGCCGCAAGUCGUGCUUUCCUGGUGAUCGCUGUGUCCCCCCACCUGAGAUCGUGGGAGAUGAUUUCCCCUAGGAAUCAGAGUUAUUCCACCAAACUAACAACCGGUCCUUCAGGGGCAAAAAGGGUGCUUUCUUCUGUCCUCUUGGUUCCAUUCUUCAUCAUAUUAGUUGAGCGGAGAGACACUGAAAGAUCAUUCAUGAAAUGGUGGCUUGUUGUUUAUUCUGGAUACAGCACAUCUAUUUUAUCAGACUUUGCAAAUCCUUUUUUCUUCUUUGCUCUUUUUUGCCCCCCUUUUCCCUAUUCCUCUACUUCUGCCAUCAUUUAAAUUUUCUCCCCUCUCUACAUACCACCCCCUCACACGCAUUCCAUUACUCUCCUAGUUUCAUUGAUUUGCUCUCCAUGGUAAAGUGCUAUUGAUUGGAGUACAUGCUCUGCUGCUACCGAGGCCUGACACGAGUGCUGCAAACUCAAGACUCUUUUCAUCACUAUUCUCCCUCAAUCCACUGCUCUCUCUUCCCCGCUCUUUCAGUUUCUCCCAAAUCUAACUGUUUAUAUCAAUUUCUAAUCCAUUUCUCCGUUUAUCCCAAUUUCCAAUGUUUUAUUUUCUGCUGCACUAUAAGAGUUCAACACUUCAGAUAUAAUGUACAUGAUAUACCUAUUCCGUGCAGAAUGGAAGUGCAGAUACAUGCAAUAUAUGAUGAAAUCCAUCAGGAUCGUAGACAGAUCACACACAGUUACAACAAGCAGCUGUAAUUGUUUUGGGAUUUUCAUCAUUUAUAAUUUGGAAUUAGGAUUGGACAAAUGCAAGGCUGGACCAUGUGCAGAUCAAUUUCCACUAGAAUAUACAACAUAAAAAGGAAAAUUAUAUAUUUUGUAAAAUUCUGGAAAACUAAAUCUACAUUUUGGUCUUUCACACAGGUGGGUAACUGAAUGGAGGGGCUUUGUUGAGAAUUUCCUUUUGAAGGAAAGGGGACUUUGCUAGCUUCCUUUGCUCUAUGGUAAUAAAAACUGUUACCCACCGAGAAAUAAAACAUGAAAUGGCAAACAUUCAUGACAUAAUCUUUUACUUCUGUGGCCCCAGGUGGAACAGAUGUCUGGUGACUCCUUCAGGCAGGACAUGCUUGAUUUCCUGUAUAACUUUACUCCCCCCUUAUCUUUUACAUUGAUGGCUAGCAAUGUAAG